UAGCUCUGUGAUAGAGCAUUUGGCUAGCAUACAAGAAGGCCUGGGUUCAAUCCCCAG
rnacentral:tRNA from 1 species